ACCCGGAGCCUUGUGCAUAGCAGUCUGUCGUUAUUGGCAGGCGACGCUUGAUUGAAGCUGGGAGAAGCCCCCCUUGCGGGACUCAACCAGCAGCCGUUAUGUCCAACAUUUCGGCCCACAGAUCAUCUUCAGGCGGUCUCCCUUGUCGGAGGGAUUAAGAUAUGACCGGUCCCACCUCGCAAUGGGUGGAAGCCAUGUUCCGUAGGUGAAUAGGUUUGCCUACUGCAUUGACCACAAUGCGCGGUCUGCACCCACGUAAACGGUGCAGGCAACAUCGUCUAAGUGCUGAGCGUGCCCGGCGAAAGCCUAGAACAAUCAGCAGCCAGAGCUAUCCGGCCUGGUUCACAGAUCAAUCGACGAUGACCGGUAGAAGGUUAAGAUAUGAUCGGUCCUGGCCUGCAAAUGGCCCCGGAGGCGCGGAACCUGCGGAAGGAUCA
rnacentral:rRNA from 1 species